GUCAUUUUGAAACCUCUGGAUAUAAUUUGUUAUACUUUAACCUAACUGGAUUAAGGGAAGAGGGGUGAGAAUCCCCCGCUGCCCCGCAGCCGUGUAGGGAACGAAAGCCCGAGCUUCAGAUGUCUCAAAGCAUUCGGAGAAUUUGAAGCAUAAGCCACUGUUAUGGGUAAGACCAUGAUGGGAAGGCGGGCAAGUAGGUAAAGGAAGCCCAAAGCCGGAAGACCUAUCCAGUUGGAAGUCUUAGA
rnacentral:ncRNA from 2 species